rnacentral:misc_RNA from 1 species
GAUGAAGAACGUAGCGAAAUGCGAUAAGUAGUGUGAAUUGCAGACUUUAGUGAAUCAUCGAAUCUUUGAACGCACAUUGCGCCCGCCAGUAUUCUGGCGGGCAUGCCUGUUCGAGCGUCAUUACAACCCUCAGGCCCCCGGGCCUGGCGUUGGGGAUCGGCGGAGCCCCCCGUGGGCACACGCCGUCCCCCAAAUGCAGUGGCGGUCCCGCCGCAGCUUCCAUCGCGUAGUAGCUAACACCUCGCGACUGGAGAGCGGCGCGGCCACGCCGUAAAACACCCAACUCUUCUGAAGUUGACCUCGAAUCAGGUAGGAAUACCCGCUGAACUUAAGCAUAUCAUAAGCGGAGGA